rnacentral:rRNA from 1 species
UACGUAGGGGCAAGCGUUGUCCGGAUUUAUUGGGCGUAAAGAGCGUGUAGGCGGCCAGGUAGGUCCGUUGUGAAAACUCGAGGCUCAACCUCGAGACGCCGAUGGAAACCAUGUGGCUAGAGUCCGGAAGAGGAGAGUGGAAUUCCUGGUGUAGCGGUGAAAUGCGCAGAUAUCAGGAGGAACACCGGUGGCGAAGGCGGGUCUCUGGGCCGAUACUGACGCUGGAGGAGCGAAAGCGUGGGGAGCGAACAGG